rnacentral:pre_miRNA from 1 species
CCGAUUGAGGCUGCGGAGCCAGGAGCUGAUGAUGGGGUGGCUCCGAGCCUUCUGCAGGUCCCCCACGUUCGGACCCAGCAGCGUCGUCACGUUGC